UAUCCCUUUUCUUGUUUUUAACAUCCAUUCAGUAUGCAAUAGUAUGUAAAUUACUGGACAACAUUGUUUUGAGGUGUCACACAACACAUCUAGGUGCACAGUCAAUAUUGAUGUGAUUUCCAAUGAAAAAUGAAGACACAACAAAUAGACAUUAAAGUUGCUGCAGUUAAAAAGCUCGUAGUUGGAUUUAUGGUGUGUCCAGUUGGCCUUUGCUCUUUGAGUGAUAGUGCUUUACUGGUCUGCUAUGUUUGGGUGGAAUCUGUGUGGCAUUAAGUUGUUGUGCAGGGGAUGCCCAUAUUUUACUUUGGAAAAAUUAGAGUGUUUUUAAAGUAGACUUAUGCCUCUGAAUAUAUUAGCAUGGAAUAAUGAUAUAGGACCUUGGUACUAUUUUGUUGGUUUGCGCACUGAGGUAAUGAUUAAGAGGACAGUUGGUGAAAUUCCUAGAUUUUUGGAUGACAAACUACUGCAAAAGCAUCAUUAAUCAAGAACAAAAGUUAGGGGAUCAAAGAUGAUUCGAGAACAUUGUAGUCUUAACCAUAAACUAUGCUGACAAGGGAUUGUUGGUGGAGUUUCGUUUUGUCUCUGUCAGCACCUUGUGAGAAAUCAUAAGUCUUUGGGUUCCUGGGGGAGUAUGGUUGCAAGGCUGAAACUUAAAGAAAUUGACGGAAGGGCACCACCAGGAGUGGAGCCUGCGGCUUAAUUUGACUCAACACGGGAAAAAUUACCAGGUCCAGACAUAGUGAGGAUUGACAGAUUGAGAGCUCUUUCUUGAUUCUAUGGGUGGUGAUGCAUGGCCCUUCUUAGUUGGUGGAGUGAUUUGUCUGGUUAAUUCCGUUAACAAACGAGACCCCUGCCUGCUUAAUAGCACGUGUAGUGUUUAUCACUGCAUUUGGGCUUCUUAGACGGAGGAAGAUAGGGGCAAUAACAGGUCUGUGAUGCUCUGAGAUGUUCUGGGCCGCACGCGUGCAACACUGAUGCUUUCAACUUGAUUCCAACUUUUUGCUUCACUGCAAAUUGUUGGUUUCAAUCAAAGUGGCAACUUGAUUUGUUUCAUUUCAUUUUGUCACCCCCCCCCCCCCAACCGCCAUUUUUUAAAAAUUGGGACGUAGAUGAACUC
rnacentral:rRNA from 1 species